rnacentral:rRNA from 1 species
AUUGAACGCUGGCGGCAGGCCUAACACAUGCAAGUCGAGCGGUAGAGGGAAGCUUGCUUCUCUUGAGAGCGGCGGACGGGUGAGUAAUGCCUAGGAAUCUGCCUGAUAGUGGGGGAUAACGUUCAGAAACGAACGCUAAUACCGCAUACGUCCUACGGGAGAAAGUGGGGGAUCUUCGGACCUCACGCUAUCAGAUGAGCCUAGGUCGGAUUAGCUAGUUGGUGAGGUAAAGGCUCACCAAGGCGACGAUCCGUAACUGGUCUGAGAGGAUGAUCAGUCACACUGGAACUGAGACACGGUCCAGACUCCUACGGGAGGCAGCAGUGGGGAAUAUUGGACAAUGGGCGAAAGCCUGAUCCAGCCAUGCCGCGUGUGUGAAGAAGGUCUUCGGAUUGUAAAGCACUUUAAGUUGGGAGGAAGGGUCGUUACCUAAUACGUGACGAUUUUGACGUUACCGACAGAAUAAGCACCGGCUAACUCUGUGCCAGCCGCCGCCGUAACAC